CCAGACUCCUACGGGAGGCAGCAGUGGGGGAUAUUGCACAAUGGGGGGAACCCUGAUGCAGCAACGCCGCGUGAGUGAGGAAGUAUUUCGGUAUGUAAAGCUCUAUCAGCAGGGAAUAGAAAAGAAGGUACCUGAAAAAGAAGCCCCGGCUAACUACGUGCCAGCAGCCGCGGUAAUACGUAGGGGGCAAGCGUUAUCCGGAUUUACUGGGUGUAAAGGGAGCGUAGACGGCAAUGCAAGUCUGGAGUGAAAGGCGGGGGCCCAACCCCCGGACUGCUCUGGAAACUGUAUAGCUGGAGUGCAGGAGAGGUAAGUGGAAUUCCUAGUGUAGCGGUGAAAUGCGUAGAUAUUAGGAGGAACACCAGUGGCGAAGGCGGCUUACUGGACUGUAACUGACGUUGAGGCUCGAAAGCGUGGGGAGCAAACAGGAUUAGAUACCCUAGUA
rnacentral:rRNA from 1 species